UUUUUAGGUAGAACCUGCUCUUACCCCCAGCUGUGUGCCUGCACUCUUGGCAGUAGACGCGAUAAAACUAAUCACAGACAUGAAACUUCAAGCCUGCAUAGGCCAAAAUGAAC